ACCCAACAGGUAAAAAGAGCUUUUGUUUCCUCUCAUUGAGAUAGAAGUUGGCAAAAGAGGGAUUUUUGUCGUUUGUGGAUCACUUGGAUAAACACAUCAAUGUAGGUAUAUAAAGUAUUCGAUAGUUAUAGUAAAUUAAUACACAACAUGUACAAGAAGAAAUUGAUUCUUAAUUGUAAAACGCUUGCACAAGUAGCUGUAUAAAAUCCAAAUAAUCUUUACACAAUUUCCAAUAAAAUAAAGAUCAUCAAUUAA
rnacentral:rRNA from 1 species